UAGGAUGCCUUUGUUGUUGUAGAACCGCAUCUGUGCCACUCCUAGCAGCAUCACACCCGAUUAUAAACUCAUCAUCAAAGUUGGGUAGCUGCAACACAGGUGCAGUAGUGAGGGUGUGCUUUAAUUUAGAAAAGAAAGAAAAGGCUAAGUCAUUCCAUUGAAAACAAUUGCAUUUAAGCAUGCUUGUUGAAGGGGCAAAAUCUGACCAUAGUUUUUGAUGAAUUUGUGGUAAUAUCCCGUUAAUCCUAAGAAUCCAUGUAGAGCAGAGUAGUGGAUUGAGGUUGCAACAAUUCAAUAAACGGCUUGAAUUUUACUUGCAUCAAUUGCUACACGUGCAUUGGAGAUAGUAUGUCCUAUAUAUGCUAUGUGAGUUUCCCCAGAAGAGCACUUGGACUUCUUCAAAUAAAGAUGGUGAGCACGUAAUAAAUAAAAAACUAUCCGAAUGUGAAAUUAAACGGUCAUCUUAUGUUUUGCUAUAAAUUAAGAUGUCAUUGAAGAAGAUAAGGGCAAUAGAGGCAAAUGUUUGUGGAAUACCUUUUAUUCAUAAGGGCCUGAAAUGUUAAAGGCGUAUUGGUGAUUUGUUGGGUCGGAUGAGGCCUUGUUGGAGCAUUUGUUCACAUUGUUUUUCUAUUUCAUCUUUUAGGAGGCGUGGAUAGCAGUAGGGUCGAACCACAAUAGGCUAGCACUUGGUUGCAACCAAAUUUGGUGGCUACAGGUUCUAAGUGGCAGUAAUCCUGAUAGUUGGUCCCCAAGGUCCCUCUUCCUUUGUAGUUAGUGAACCUUAUACCUCUUAGUGGGCUAUUGCUCUUUGGCUAGAAAUUUGUUUGUUGUCUAGCCCAAAACUUGUGAUGAGUGAGGCAAAGUCUUAUAUAAUUAGACCCAACGUUGUUUGCCAUUAGACACUAAGAAAAAUGUCAAAACCAGUCAAAGGAAUUAGGGGUGUGUAAACGAUCAGUUCGGUUUAAAUUGAUAAAAUCGAUAACUGAAAAUCAAGAAUUUUGAAGACCGAUCCAAACCGAUCACUAGGAGACAACCGAACCGAACCAAACCAAACCAAACCGAACCAAACCGAUAAAUAUUGGUUUGGUUCGGUUUUAAACUGAUCGAACCAAAUUUUGUAAGACGAAAUGCGAAAUUUCAGUUUCAAAUUCAAUCCCACAACCACCAACAAUUGCUAAACAGUAAAAGAAAUCACAGAAUAACAGAACAGAAAUUGCAAAAAAUAACAAUCGCAAAACAAUCCCUUCAUGAUCUGUUGAUAAUCUGCAACUAUGCAAAAGAAUAGAAUAAUCUGCAUGCAACCACAGACUCGAACAAUAACAUUGCUCGUCAAUUGGAGCCACAAUCCACGGAUCCCUUCAUGGAGGCAAGAUCGGCAUAGCCUAAAGGUGAGAUUUUGAUGGGUCGCUCCACCUUCUCUUAUGGUCAAAUCUGGAGGCAAACAGUGCCUGCGAGACUUGAGAGUACCCAAUAGCCAUUAAUGAUUUGGGUGGAUCAGAAGAAGAAAAAGAAAAAGAAAUGGAGAAGAGAUUAAGGAGGAGCAGGAGGAGGAAGGGAAGCGAGCAUGUAUACUCUAGGAGAAGAGGAAGCGAUGAAGGCAAGUGGGCGAGGGAUUGAGGGAGUGAGGGUCUCAUUUGAUCUGAGUGGUAAGCAUGUGUGUGUGUGUAUUAAUUUGGGUUCGAUUCGGUUUUCCGAUUUUUAAUGAAAAUAAGCGAAUUGAACCGAUUAAUCGAAAUUAUUAAAAUUCAUAAACCAAACCAAACCGAUUGAAUUUUAAAACCGAAUCGAUUGAACCGAAUUGAAUCGGUUUGGUUCGGUUUUUCGGUU
rnacentral:misc_RNA from 1 species